GCAGUCAACGGUACCGGAGGCGGUUUGUGCCGAGGAUAAGGAGUUGACGGCUAAACCACU
rfam:Enterococcus dispar ATCC 51266 genomic scaffold acpMG-supercont1.3, whole genome shotgun sequence.